CAGUAGCCGCGGGAAUACGUAGGGUGCGAGCGUUAAUCGGAAUUACUGGGCGUAAAGCGAGCGCAGGCGGUUGUGUAAGACAGGUGUGAAAUCCCCGGGCUUAACCUGGGAACUGCGCUUGUGACUGCACAGCUAGAGUAUGGCAGAGGGGGGUGGAAUUCCACGUGUAGCAGUGAAAUGCGUAGAGAUGUGGAGGAACACCGAUGGCGAAGGCAGCCCCCUGGGCCAAUACUGACGCUCAUGCACGAAAGCGUGGGGAGCAAACAGGAUUAGAUACCCCUGUAGUCCCUGUCUCUUAUAA
rnacentral:rRNA from 1 species